UACGGAGGGUGCAAGCGUUAUCCGGAAUCAUUGGGUUUAAAGGGUCCGCAGGCGGAUUUAUAAGUCAGUGGUGAAAUCCUACAGCUCAACUGUAGAACUGCCAUUGAUACUGUAAGUCUUGAAUUCGGUCGAAGUGGGCGGAAUAUGACAUGUAGCGGUGAAAUGCUUAGAUAUGUCAUAGAACACCGAUAGCGAAGGCAGCUCACUAGGCCUGGAUUGACGCUCAGGGACGAAAGCGUGGGGAGCAAACAGGAUUAGAUACCCUGGUAGUCCACGCCGUAAACUAUGAUUACUCGAUAUUGGCGAUAUACAGUCAGUGUCUAAGCGAAAGUGAUAAGUAAUCCACCUGGGGAGUACGAUCGCAAGGUUG
rnacentral:rRNA from 1 species